rnacentral:lncRNA from 1 species
UGGAGGCAACACACACCUGGAACUGUUUUUACUACACUGCUGUCACAUUGCUGGAAAGGUCACAUAGGUGUGUUUGUCACAUAUAAGAAAUUCAAUAUGGAUGGAGUUUUAGUGAUAAAAGACAUUAGGAACUGUUUAUUUCUUGGCUGGAGUCAUACACUGACAGUCAAGACAAAAUCCCCCUAGUUCCUGGUUACUUCAGUGUGACUUGAUCCCAACUAGUAUUUGAGCUGUAGAAUAAUCCGGUUGUUCCAUUAUCACUUUGGUAAGUUCCUUUGACGUUUCUCAGGAUAAUCUUUGGUGGGCCUUCCUAUUUUCUGUUUUAAUUCAGGUAUAUUCAGCUUGCAGCUUUACUUUCUCGAAGAUCCCUUCACCAUACACCUUAUCAAAGCGGAUUAAUGGAAAGUGGAGUGGUCAAAGUGCUGGAGGAUGUGGAAAUUUUCAGGAGACUCACAAAAAUAACCCCAUCUACCAAUUCCAUAUCGAUAAGACUGGUCCGUUACUAAUUGAGCUGAGGGGACCAAGGCAAUACAGUGUUGGAUUUGAGGUUGUAGCAGUUUCCAUAGCGGGAGAUCCUGGUCCCCAUGGCUUUCAGAGGAAAUCUAGUGGUGACUAUAGGUGUGGAUUUUGCUACUUAGAACUGGAAAACAUACCUGCUGGGAUCUUUAAUGUCAUCCCCAGUACUUUUUUGCCUAAACAAGAAGGACCCUUUUUCUUGGACUUCAAUAGUACUGUCCCCAUCA